AGUGUUCUAUAGGUUUAGUCGUGA
rnacentral:siRNA from 1 species